UCAUCCCUAAAUUCUCCGCCUGAAACCCUAAAUUACCAAAUUCUCCGCACCAUCCCAUUCUUCUCCUCUGUUCGAAGGCUAUAACCGCCGUCCCGUCGUCCCCCUCGAUCCUGCGCCCUCCCGUCGUCCUCCUUGACAUCUUCGUCCCGUCGUCCUCCUCGACGUUUCGUCGUUGCCUCCCCCUUAGCUCCUCGACGUCCUCCUCCGACAUCGCCGUCCUGUCGUCGCCUCCCCCUAAGCCCCUCAGCUCCUCGCCGUCCCGUCGUCCUCCUUGAUGUUUCGUCGUUGUCAUCCUCCUUCGACAUUGUCGUCCUGUCAUUGCCUCGCCCCUCACUUCAUGCCCGAGCCCUCCCUCUCCUCCGACAUCACCGUCCAUCCUCGCCGAUACGAGAGGGAAGCACCGGAUCUUAGCGGAGCUCAAGAGGUUUGUACAAGAAGCUCAAUUCUUGGAGGUUAUUGCUGAGAGCUUGUCAGAAGACGAAAUUGUUGGCCUUAAGGAGAUGUUAAAGAUGAUGGAUACAGCCGAUAGUGGUCAAAUCACCUAUGAAGAACUAAAGGUUGGUUUAGAAAGAGCUGGUGCAAAUCUGAAGGAGUCUGAAAUAUCAGCUCUAAUGGAAGCUGGUGCAAAUCUGAAGGAGUCUAAUAUGUUCAUUUGAUUACCUAAAUGAAAACUUUGCCGGUUCUUACAUUUUGAGUUGGUCUGUAAAUAGGUUUCUUCUAUCAGUGAAUAAUUUGGAAUAUUUUUUGUUUGCGAUGGAUGUUGUUCUAUUAAUA